CCCGCGCGUGCGCGAAACGGCUGCGGGAAACUGGAGCGAUAGACUCGGAGCCCCGGCGGACUGUGCAGACACAAAGUCGGGGUCUCUGAGUUUGCAAGACUGCCACGCAGGCCUCCCCUGAGCUUGUCAGGUUAGCAUGUGGCUCCUUUUGUCCACAGAGGGUAGCACCCAGAGUUUGCCCGAAGAGUCUCCACCCGGGUCAAUGAGGGCAUCUCCAUGCUGACCUUUCACCUACCAGAUGGGCAAAGAUGAAGACCCAGAAAGGAGUCAAUGAAGGAGGAGUGUGGGGAACAGGCGCUCACUCUCAA